GGAAGCUAGAAAAAAAUGAAAAGGCCUACACAUAUGCAGCCAUCGGGGCAAAAAAGGCAAUGAUAGAAUGGCAACAAGUGUCAGUGACACCUGAACCCAGGUGGCCCAAGUUAUGUAUUGGUGAUGGAGAUGGAUAGAGAGGAAGCGGAAGGAUAUGCAGAGCCAAUGGUGACUACGUGAGAUGUACUGCAGCACUUAGGAAGGCAACAGUGGUGUAUAGAAAUGGAAGGACUAGAGACUUGGAGAGGAUGUUUCCCUCUUGUCAGUGGGCAAGUUACUCGGGUGAAAACAGUGGCCAGAAAUUUGUCCCGCACAGUUGGUAUAUCUGAAGAUUUAAGGUGAAAUCCUGGCCCCAUUGAAGGCAAUGACAAAACUCUCUUCCAUUGAUGAAUAAAUGACUUCAAAGAGGCUGCCACAAACUGACCUUGGCUUUAGUGCACGGACAGAAUGUUGAGAAGUUUGAAGAGGCAGCACACAGAAAAUAAAAGGCAUCGGCUUUGUAGCUAUGACACAAGAAAAAGGUAUAUUAUCAUAAUAGCUUACAACAGACCAGUUCUUAUGUUCUAGCAUUUUCCUUUCUCCCCUCCACCUCAGGCUGCCUUCUGGUUUACACGGACUUUUCUUUUGCUGGCAGCACCCCAUUCCGGCUCAGAACAAUCCAUAUGUCUGUUCUCCUUCGUCCAGAUGUCCCUGCUCUUGGAUGUAAUCCCAGCUUCUGCAUUUCUAGCUGAAAGAGAAUUUCUUUUAUGUCUCCUAAAAGCUGUUGUUGCUCUUGACCUUUCUAGUUUCUGGAUA